rnacentral:rRNA from 1 species
UACGAAGGGGGCUAGCGUUUGCUCGGAAUCACUGGGCGUAAAGCGCACGUAGGCGGAUUUGCUAAGUCAGGGGUGAAAUCCUGGAGCUCAACUCCAGAACUGCCUUUUGAUACUGGCGACCUUGAGUCCGGGAGAGGUGAGUGGAACUGCGAGUGUAGAGGUGAAAUUCGUAGAUAUUACGCAAGAACACCAGUGGCAGGAAGGGCGGCUCACUGGCCCCGGGUACUGACGCUGAGGGUGCGAAAAGCGUGGGGGAGCAAACAGG